UCCGCCCUUCACUAGUUUCAGUUGCGAUUUCACAUAGUUUCGUUUCUUCAAGUUUAAGGAAGUCUGAAUGCUUACUCGUCGUCUGACAAAACAAAAAGAUGCAGACUUUUACAUGUUUUGUCUUUUUAUAUUUGAUAACCAACGCUGAAGCUCAGCAGCAAAUAUCUGUGAAAUGUGGCGCUGAUAUAAGGCUCCAGUGUUCAGCAGAAAUUGAAAAAGAUGUAAUAUACAGAUCCAUACGCUGGUAUAAGGUUCAGACUCCAGAUCUUCUAAAUGGCAUUGUUUAUAUAAACAUGAACAGCAGUAUGGUUAAAAUAUACAAUGGUUUUAAGAGAUCAUUUGAAUUUACCUCGGAUGAUGUUUUAUCACUUAUAAUGAAGAAUUCUACUGAGGAAGAUGGAGGAACAUACCAAUGUUUUCUUUCAGCACCUCUUGGACAGCAAAACAGGAAAGGAGAAAUAGAAGUAAAGAUUGUAGAUACAUCGGGACUAGUACUUGAGCCAGACCUUGCACCCUCUUGAUGCAUUUAGGAAGCUGCUGUCCAGUUCAUCUGCUAAAACACUGCUUGCAGCUUUACCUGACCCACUUGCUCCAUAAGCUGUUACACAAGCUCUGCGAGAUCUACUGGUUUAGCCAAUCUGCUGACUAUAUCAAUGUACUGUGGAUGGGAAACAAACCAGUGUUCUCCAUAUAAAUAGCUGGGGUACCCACCAGGUCACCCUGUUUACUUAAAACUGAGAAGAUAACUGUUAUGGACCAGUAACACAAAAGAAAAAUGAAUUCAUUGAAGCAUAACAAUAAUCUAUAGGUCUGCAGCUCUGCUCUCUCUGAAUGCUAGUUCAGAUUGUGACACCUCCUUGUAUCAUCUGAACUGCAAGGGGUAGACCAUCUUGGGUCAGCUGUUCAAUGCUGCAGGAAAAGUAGAAGAUACUGUUAGCGUCAGUACCCUCUAUCAUCCCAGGGUGUCACUGCGCAAGAAAGUGUCAGCAAAGUGACUGAGACUUAAUAUUUCCAACUGGAGAUCUCAGUCACCUUUAAGAAAGGAAGCUCAUGAUUUCCUUUGGUUGUCAGUACGAUUUUGCCAUUUUUGAGUAGUUCAGCCAGUCUGUAUUUCAAGGUAGAAUAUAAAAGAAUUAUUGGUAAUAUGGAGUCAAACAUAGCUAAGGGAGAUUGGUCAUUUCUUUUAUUUUGACAUGGUAAAGAAUGGUUGGACUGUUUUAAUAUAUGAAAAACUUUCUUUUUUGGGGGCAGUGGUUACAAUAGUUUAUCCACUCUACUAGAGAAUACAAGAUUAUAAGUGUUUGUUAGUUAAGUUAUCUCUAUUUAGUCCUAAUUCUUAUGACGGCAAGCAAAUAGCAACAUGUUUAGCAGGAUAACUGGUCUUUUUAUAAAGAGUACUGGAAAGCCAUCUACUGUUAGUCCACAAAGUGAAUCCCAGAGGCCUCCACAAGAGCUCUUAAGGUUGCUCCAAAGGCCAAAUUGAAUUAAUUCUCAGUACAUGUAUUUACCUCAUGACUGCAUUGUUAUCUGUUACCUUGAUUGCUUUUAUUUUGAUUAUCCACUCAAACUAU